GGAAAAGGAACAAAGACUAAGAAACGCCACAUCGUGUGGCGACGUCUUUGUGACCGAUGUCGUAUCGG
rnacentral:sRNA from 1 species